rnacentral:rRNA from 1 species
UACGGAGGGUGCGAGCGUUGUCCGGAAUCACUGGGCGUAAAGGGCGCGUAGGCGGCCAUUCAAGUCGGAGGUGAAAGCCCAGGGCUCAACCCUGGAAUUGCCUUCGAUACUGUCUGGCUAGAGACCGGAAGAGGUAAGUGGAACUGCGAGUGUAGAGGUGAAAUUCGUAGAUAUUCGCAAGAACACCAGUGGCGAAGGCGGCUUACUGGUCCGGUUCUGACGCUGAGGCGCGAAAGCGUGGGGAGCAAACAGG